rnacentral:rRNA from 1 species
UACGUAGGGUGCGAGCGUUAAUCGGAAUUACUGGGCGUAAAGCGUGCGCAGGCGGUUUUGUAAGCCAGAUGUGAAAUCCCCGGGCUUAACCUGGGAAUGGCAUUUGGGACUGCAAGGCUUGAGUGCGGCAGAGGAGACUGGAACUCCUGGUGGAGCGGUGAAAUGCGUAGAUAUCAGGAGGAACACCGGUGGUGAAAACGAGUCUCUGGUCCGCUUCUGACGCUCAGGUGCGAAAGCUAGGGGAGCAAACGGG